GGUGGCCGGGUCCGGUCCGCCCCAUCCGGGGUGUGUACUCGUGUCGCCGGUCGCCAUCCUUGUCGAGAGGCGCGCUGGCAUUCACUUGUUGGCGCGUGGAUCGGCAUCAUUUACUGUGAAAAAAUUAGAGUGUUUAAAGCAGGCUUAUGCUUCUGAAUACAUUAGCAUGGAAUAAUAAGAUAGGACUUCGGUGCUAUUUUGUUGGUUUGCGUACCGAGGUA
rnacentral:rRNA from 1 species